rnacentral:rRNA from 1 species
CGUGCUUAACACAUGCAAGUCGUGCGGUCUCGCCUUAAGCGAAAGGCCUUCGGGCUUUGAAGCAAAGGCGAGAUAGCGGCGGACGGGUGAGUAACGCGUGGCUUAUCUGUCCCAGGGAGGGGGAUAACGUCUGGAAACGGGCGCUAAUACCCCAUAUGCCGGUGAGGUAAAAAGGAGAAAUCCGCCCUGGGGUGAGGCCGCGUCCUAUCAGCUAGUUGGUGAGGUAACGGCCCACCAAGGCUAUGACGGGUAGCCGGCCUGAGAGGGCGGCUGGCCACACUGGGAUUGAGAUACGGCCCAGACUCCUACGGGAGGCAGCAGUGGGGAAUAUUGGGCAAUGGGGGAAACCCUGACCCAGCGACGCCGCGUGGAGGAAGGAGCCCUUCGGGGUGUAAACUCCUGUUGUAAGGGAAGAAGACAGUGACGGUACCUUACGAGGAAGCCCCGGCAAACUACGUGCCAGCAGCCGCGGUAACACGUAGGGGGCGAGCGUUGUCCGGAAUCACUGGGCGUAAAGCGCACGCAGGCGGAUGCGCGCGUCGGCUGUGAAAUGCACCGGCUCAACCGGUGCACUGCGGUCGAUACGGCGCGUCUGGAGUGCGGGAGAGGGAAGCGGAAUUCCCGGUGUAGCGGUGAAAUGCGUAGAUAUCGGGAGGAACGCCGGUGGCGAAGGCGGCUUCCUGGCCCGCAACUGACGCUCAUGUGCGAAAGCCAGGGGAGCGAACCGGAUUAGAUACCCGGGUAGUCCUGGCCGUAAACGAUGGACGCUAGGUGUGGGCGGUUUAUCCGUCUGUGCCGAAGUUAACGCGUUAAGCGUCCCGCCUGGGGAGUACGAUCGCAAGGUUGAAACUCAAAGGAAUUGACGGGGGCCCGCACAAGCGGUGGAGCGCGU